UAUAGAAACUCACACNGUUUUGCUUNGCUCGNGAGACCAGGAAUGCGUAAGNAUGGAAUGCAGAAUCAGGAUCUCGAUCUUGNACGCAACUGCGCUUNUGUAUUCNGAGAGCAUGCCUGUUUGAGUUCAUGAAUUUCANCCAUAGGNUUCUUAAUGGCUGGAUUGGAGGCUGCCAUUCUAAAUGGCUCCUCUUAAAAGAGUUAGCGAGUUUAACUAUUGCUAUCUGGCGUAAUAAGUUUCGCUGGAAUGGUAUUGUGAAGCGCGCUUCUAAUCGUCUUCGGACAAUUUUUUGACUCUGGCCUCAAAUCAGGUAGGACUACCCGCUGAACUUAAGCAUAUCAAUAAGCGGAGGAAAAGAAACUAACAAGGAUUCCCUUAGUAACGGCGAGUGAACCGGGAAGAGCUCAAAUUUGAAAUCUGGCUGUCUUCGAUAGUCCGAGUUGUAAUCUAUAGAAGCGUUUUCCGUGCUGAACUGUGUCUAAGUCCCUUGGAACAGGGUAUCAAAGAGGGUGACAAUCCCGUACUUGACACAAUCAUCAGUGCUCUGUGAUACGCUCUCUACGAGUCGAGUUGUUUGGGAAUGCAGCUCAAAAUGGGUGGUAAAUUCCAUCUAAAGCUAAAUAUUGGCGAGAGACCGAUAGCGAACAAGUACCGUGAGGGAAAGAUGAAAAGCACUUUGGAAAGAGAGUUAAACAGUACGUGAAAUUGUUGAAAGGGAAACGAUUGAAGUCAGUCGUGUUCAUUGGAUUCAGCCGGUCUUCGGUGUACUUCCUUUGAACGGGUCAACAUCAGUUUUGCCCGGUGGAUAAAGGCAGUAGGAAUGUGGCCUCUUCGGAGGUGUUAUAGCCUAUUGUCACAUACACUGGGGGAGACUGAGGACUGCAGCUCGCCUUUUGGCCGGGGUUCGCCCACGUUCGAGCUUAGGAUGUGACAUAAUGCUAAACUUUNUNU
rnacentral:rRNA from 1 species